CUCGGUCUUCAAAUGGAGCUCAAGAGGAGAGAGAUGAAAGAUGAUCCGGUGAGGCAGCAAGAGCUUGCUGCUUACUUCACUCACUGUAAACUCCAAACACCUCACCUACGGCUCGCGUACUUUAGUGCAAUGACCGUCUGCUACAAGGCAAAGAACAUGGCUACUGCUGCCCACUUCGCCAGAAGUUUGUUGGAUACAAACCCUACUAUUGAGAGCCAGGCCAGGACGGCUAGACAAGUUAUGCAAGCUGCUGACCGCAACAUGACAGAUGCAACCGCGCUCAACUACGACUUUAGAAACCCGUUUGUGAUAUGCGGGUCCACUUAUGUGCCAAUCUACAAAGGACAGAAAGAUGUGGCAUGUCCUUACUGCACUGCCCGGUUUGUACCAAGCCAGGAAGGCAACAUCUGCUCGGUCUGUGAUCUUGCAGUCAUUGGCGCAGACGCAUCUGGUUUGCUAUGCUCUGCGUCUCAAGUCCGGUGAACAAGUCAGAUUGAUUAUGUGCUUCAGUCGUGAGGUAAGUACGAGAUGCUCUUUUUAUGGAAGAAGAGUGUUGAGCUUUUGGUGUUUGUGAAUUUUCCGCCUGCAACUUCUAUUACUCUCUUAAGUCUUAAAGUUGUUUCUUAUCUUAGCAACAACGCAUGAGAACUAUAUCUUCAUUUUGUUUGAUUUUGUUUUUACAGUCUCAGGACAUUUCAUUUAGGCUUAUCGGAUUUUAAACUCGAUCAUUAUGUUGAGAAAUAUAGACGUAAUAUUUUAUAAUGUUUCCAUUUUCUUUUCGUAAAUUUUCAGUUGAUGCAUAACUACUUUUUUCAAAAUACUUUUAAAAUUAUGGAAAAUGUCAGAGAAAUACCCAUCGAAUAGAAGAGCCUCCAAUAAAUGUGGUUAGUUAGAUGAAUCGUUAAGGCUGUGUGGUAGAUAAGCUCACCAUUCCAUCUGAGUGGGUAACGGACCAACUCUCAAAAUGACUGGAUCACGACUGCCUCUUUACUCUUUUGCUGUUUCUCAAUUUGUCCGGUCGCAUCGCAUGAUUCUCUUCGAUUUGAGUGUGAGAUAAUUUUAAGGAGGACUCCCCACAUUUGUCUUCAAAAACUAUUCCGAUCAUGUAGUUGCUUCAUGGAUCCUCAAAGCAACUACAUGAACGCUUCACUAGCUAAACAUGACCGCGAUAGUCAUGCCUCCGGCACACGGAUGAUGGAGUUUUGUCCACUGGUCAAAUUGCUUUCCACAAGCUUACCAAAUUCCGGAUAAACUGAGUUCUAUGAUGAACACCAUCCAUAUCGAUUUAACUCGUUUGACGAAUCUCAAAAUUUCUCGUCCAAAACAAUAUACAAAACCUUAUAAAAAUUAAUGAUAUAGAUAUAUAUGCAAGUUUAAUUCUCAUGUUUAGAUGUGGACAUUUCGGUUCUAACAAUGGUUUGGGUUUAUUCGAUUAGCUGGUUUGGUUCGGAUCAAUUAAAAUCUCUGUAGUGUUUUUUUUUUUUUUUUUUUUUGGUAAAUAAUAUCCCUGUAGUGUUUGAAUUAUCACAAAAGGAAAUGCUUAUAUUUCAAAACUAUUUUUAGUCAAAAAAUCAAAUGAUAAUUAUUCCUUAGAUAUGAAGAAAAUAAUUAGAAAAUGAUGGUAUCAUUAGACCAAUAAGAGUCCGUUAUUUCGUGUCCAUCUCUGUAUGUAAGUUGUUGUUAGUCCCAAUUUGCCAUGAGAACUCGACAAUAGUCUCUGUAUCAGAGCAAUUCACUCAAUUCUUUACGAGGAUUCACAUUUAACCCAUCUUCUUCUUCCUCUCCUUCUUCUUCAUCUGUAGAGUUGUUCUGUUUCGUUAUCGGAGAACGGAGAUUAUGUUGACCAAGUUCAAGACCAAGAGUAACAGAGUUAAAGGUCUGAGCUUUCACCCUAAAAGACCAUGGAUUCUCGCCAGUUUACACAGUGGUGUGAUCCAGCUCUGGGAUUACCGUGUGGGUACCUUGAUCGAUAAGUUUGACGGGCACCAAGGACCUGUUCGUGGUGUUCAUUUUCACACUUCACAGCCUCUAUUCGUCUCUGGAGGUACAUGCUUUCUUCUGUUCUUCUAUAGUUUAACAUAAAGUUUCGUCCUUUAUCAAUUUCUCUACUUAUGGGCAUUCUUGGUUUGGUUGAUAUUUGUUAUGUGUUGCAUUAAAAUGAAUGAUUUUAAUGCUGGUCUAUUAUCUUAAUCUUGCAGGGGAUGAUUGCAAGAUAAAAGUUUGGAACUACAAAACACACUGGUGUCUUUUCACUCUUCUUGGACAUCUUGAUUAUAUCCGCACGGUUCAGUUUCAUCACGAAUACCCAUGGAUUCUGAGUGCCAGUGACGACCAAACUAUCCGUAUAUGGAACUGGCAAUCACGGACUUGUGUCUCUGUCUUGGCUGCUCACAAUCAUUAUGUUAUGUGUGCUUCUUUCCACCCAAAAGAUGACCUUGUUGUAUCAGCUUCCUUAGAUCAGACUGUUCGUGUUUGGGAAAUUGGUGCUCUUAAGAAGAAGACUGUAUCUCCUUCUGAUGAUAUCAUGAGGUUGGCUGAGAUAAAUAGUGAUCUUUUUGAUAGUGUUGAUGUCACAGUCAAAUACGUCCUUGAAGGUCAUGAAAGAGGUGUAAUUUGGGCUGCUUUUCAUCCCAACCUGCCUCUUAUCGUCUCGGGUUCAGAUGACCGCCAAGUAAAGCUGUGGCGUAUGAAUGGUAAAUUAUUUUAUGUUAUCAAUCGUCAAUGGUAUCUUGUUUGUAACCUUUGUGUAUGUCUUAAUUCUUAGAUGUAUCUCCUGAUAGCGGAAUUGAGUUAGUAAUGCGUUCUUUUCAAUUUCAUUGUAGAAACUAAAGCUUGGGAGGUGGAUACAUUGCGAGGUCACAUGAAUAAUGUUUCAUCCGUUAUGUUCCAUGCAAAACAAGACAUAAUUGUAUCAAACUCUGAGGAUAACAGCAUCCGUGUCUGGGAUGCUACCAAGCGAACUGAAAUCCAAACUUUUCGCCGUGAACAUGAUCGAUUCUGGAGUCUUGCAGUUCACCCUGAGAUUAAUCUACUAGCAGCAGGACAUGACAAUGGUAUGAUUGUCUUCAAACUUGAGAGAGAACGUCCUGCAUUUGCUUUGAGUGGUGAUUCAUUAUUCUAUGCCAAGGAUAGAUUUUUACGGUGCUAUGAAUAUUCAACUCAAAAAGAUUCCCAAGUUAUUCCUAUACGGAGUCCUGGUACCCCAAGCUUGAAUCAAAGUCCUAGGACUUUAUCGUACAGUCCGACAGAAAAUGCAGUUCUGAUCUUCUCAGAUCUGGAUGGUGGUUCUUACGAGUUGUACAUCAUACCAAAAGACAGAAGCGACGUUGUGCAAGAUGAAAUGCGGGGGAAAGGUGGUUCUGCGGUGUUCAUUGCUCGAAAUCGGUUUGCUGUUCUGGAGAAAAGCACCAGCCAGGUGCUAGUGAAGAAUCUAAAGAAUGAGGUGGUUGAAAAGAGUUCUCUGCCUAUUCCCGCAGACGCUAUCUUUUAUGCUGGGACUGGAAAUUUGCUUUGUAGGUCUGAGGAUAAAGUGGUUAUAUUUGACCUUCAACAAAGGCUUGUUCUUGGUGAGCUUCAGAUACCGUUUCUUAGGUACGUUGUUUGGUCUAACGAUAUGGAGAGUGUUGCUUUGCUCGGCAAACAUUAUAUCAUUAUUGCGAGCAAAAAACUUGCUUUCCAGUGCAUGCUUCAUGAGAGAAUACGUGUGAAAAGUGGAGCAUGGGACGACAAUGGUGUCUUCAUUUACACUACUCUGAACCACAUCAAGUAUUGUCUUCCUAAUGGAGAUAGUGGAAUCAUCAAAACCCUGGAUGUCCCAAUCUACAUCACCAAGGUGUCUGGAAAUACAAUCUUUUGCUUGGACCGGGAUAGGAAAAACAGGGCUAUCACCAUUAAUGCAACGGAAUACAUUUUCAAGCUUGCACUGCUGAGAAAGAGAUAUGAUCAUGUCAUGAGCAUGAUAAAGAACUCCCAGCUAUGUGGACAGGCUAUGAUCGCUUAUCUUCAGCAGAAAGGCUUUCCUGAAGUUGCCCUCCACUUUGUUGAAGACGAGAGGAUCCGAUUCAACUUGGCUCUUGAAAGUGGCAACAUCAGUGUAGCUGUUGCAUCCGCUACAGAGAUUAAUGAGAAAGACCACUGGUAUAGACUCGGAGUGGAGGCUCUUCGUCAAGGAAAUUCUAGAAUUGUUGAGUUUGCGUACCAGCAGACAAAGAACUUUGAGAGGUUAUCUUUUCUAUAUCUCAUUACUGGCAAUUUAGACAAGCUGUCAAAGUUGAUGAAAAUUGCAGAGGUGAAGAACAAUGUAGUGUUAAGAUACUAGAUAAUGCUGGUCAUUUGCCUCUAGCUUAUAUCACAGCUUCGGUUCAUGGUUUAAAUGACGUCGCUGAGCGACUGGCCAUUGAGUUAGGAGACAACGUGCCCUCAUUGCCUGAAGGGAAAACUCCAUCGCUUCUAAUGCCACCGCCUCCCAUCAUGUGUGGUGGCGAUUGGCCUCUUCUGAGAGUGAUGAAAGGAAUAUUUGAAGGAGGGCUUGAGAGUGCAAACCGAGGAGGGGCUGUUGAUGAAGAAGAAGAAGGUGAAGGUGAAGAAGAAGAAGGUGAAGAAGAAGAAAAAGAAAAAGAAGAAGAAGAAGAAGAAGAUGAAGAAGAAGAUGAAGAAGAAGAAGAAGAUGUUGAAGGCGACUGGGGUGAGGGACUUGACAUGGUAAAUAUUGAUGGAAUGGAGAACACAGAAAUCGAAGCCAUUUUGGACGAUGAAGAAGAUAACGACGGGGUUUGUGAAUGGGGAGGAAUCGGAGACUUGGAUCUUCCAACAGAGUUAGACUCUCUGAAAGUCUCUGUUAGCGCAUGUUCAUCGGUUUUUAUUACCCCUACACAAGGCAUGCCCGUAAGUCAGAUUUGGAGCGAGAAAUCUUCCCUUGCUGCUGAGCAGGCUGCAGCAGGAAGCUUUGACACUGCAAUGCGUUUGCUCCACAGACAGCUUGGCAUAAAGAACUUUGCGCCUUUAAAAUCGAAGUUUCUUGAUCUGUUCAGUGGGAGCCAUAGCUAUCUGCGUGCCUUUUCUUCAUCUCCUGUGGUUCCUCUUGCCAUUGAGCGUGGAUGGAGUGAGUCUUCCAGUCCUAACGUCCGUGGCCCGCCAGCUCUUGUUUUCGAUUUCUCUCAGCUAGAAGCGAAGCUCAAAUCCGGCUACAAAGCCACAACAGCUGGGAAAUUAUCUGAGGCUCUCCGUGUCUUCCUUUCUAUUCUCCAAACCAUCCCAUUGGUGGUAGUUGAGUCAAGAAGAGAAGUCGAUGAUGUUAAGGAACUGGUCAUCAUAGUCAAAGAAUAUGUCCUCGGUCUUCAAAUGGAGCUCAAGAGGAGAGAGAUGAAAGAUGAUCCGGUGAGGCAGCAAGAGCUUGCUGCUUACUUCACUCACUGUAAACUCCAAACACCUCACCUACGGCUCGCGUACUUUAGUGCAAUGACCGUCUGCUACAAGGCAAAGAACAUGGCUACUGCUGCCCACUUCGCCAGAAGUUUGUUGGAUACAAACCCUACU
rnacentral:lncRNA from 1 species